UAAUGUCACUUUCCGGGCAAAGUACCGAAAUAUAUUUGUCAUGCGCUAUUGACAUCUAUUUGUAUGGACCGCCGUAAUCAAAUCUUCAUGGUAUACGGACGCGUGUGGACAUAUUUUUGUGCUCUCCAGAUCAGGUUUAAGUUUUCGAGUGAUGUUGAAAUUUCAUCGCAAAAGGUCGAAGUAAAGUGGGAAAUGUCAAACACUGUCAUAGUACAAAAUGGCGCCAGAAGAUACUGACCAAGAUCUCGACCUUGUUCUUCUUGUUAUGCAUGAAGCCAUUCCAUCUGGUUCGUUCAAAGAAGCCGCCACAACUUCAGAGCUUGACUCUUCGUUGAUUUGAUCUCAGCAGGUCCAUCAAAAAUUGACCAAGUGAAACAAAAGUCGAAUAGUGUUUGAAUUGUGACGAUGCAUUUAUACCAAGGUACGAUUUAUUGACGACAACCAUGUUCUACCAUAUAAUCAAAUAAUACGGAAUGAGAGAAAAAAAUACAGUCAAAUGUUA